rnacentral:tRNA from 1 species
GGCUUCAUAGUUCAGUUGGUUAUAGAGCGUCGCACUGGUUUCGCGAGGUCACGGGUUCAAACCCCGUUGAAGCCA